rnacentral:rRNA from 1 species
AUUGAACGCUGGCGGCAUGCCUUACACAUGCAAGUCGAACGGCAGCACGGGAGCAAUCCUGGUGGCGAGUGGCGAACGGGUGAGUAAAGCAUCGGAACGUGCCCAGUCGUGGGGGACAACGUAGCGAAAGCUACGCUAAUACCGCAUACGAUCUGUGGAUGAAAGCGGGGGACCGUAAGGCCUCGCGCGAUUGGAGCGGCCGAUGUCAGAUUAGGUAGUUGGUGAGGUAAAGGCUCACCAAGCCGACGAUCUGUAGCUGGUCUGAGAGGACGACCAGCCACACUGGGACUGAGACACGGCCCAGACUCCUACGGGAGGCAGCAGUGGGGAAUUUUGGACAAUGGGCGCAAGCCUGAUCCAGCAAUGCCGCGUGCAGGAUGAAGGCCUUCGGGUUGUAAACUGCUUUUGUACGGAGCGAAAAGGCUUCCACUAAUACUGGGGGCUCAUGACGGUACCGUAAGAAUAAGCACCGGCUAACUACGUGCCAGCAGCCGCCGUAAGAC